UACGAAGGGGGCUAGCGUUGCUCGGAAUUACUGGGCGUAAAGGGCGCGUAGGCGGCACUGUUAGUCAGGCGUGAAAUUCCUGGGCUCAACCUGGGGACUGCGCUUGAUACGGCAGAGCUAGAGGAUGGAAGAGGCUCGCGGAAUUCCCAGUGUAGAGGUGAAAUUCGUAGAUAUUGGGAAGAACACCGGUGGCGAAGGCGGCGAGCUGGUCCGAUUACUGACGCUGAGGCGCGACAGCGUGGGGAGCAAACAGG
rnacentral:rRNA from 1 species